rnacentral:tRNA from 1 species
GGAGGGUAUAGCUUAGUGGUAGAGCAUUCGACUGCAGAUUGAGAGGUUCCCGGUUCAAACCCGCGUGCCUCCU